rnacentral:rRNA from 1 species
GGACGCAAGUCUGAACCAGCCAUGCCGCGUGCAGGAGGACGGCCCUAUGGGUUGUAAACUGCUUUUAUCAGGGGAUAAACCUCGGGAUGCGUUCCGAGCUGAAGGUACCUGAUGAAUAAGGAUCGGCUAACUCCGUGCCAGCAGCCGCGGUAAUACGGAGGAUCCGAGCGUUAUCCGGAUUUAUUGGGUUUAAAGGGUGCGUAGGCGGUCUAUUAAGUCAGUGGUGAAAGGUUACAGCUCAACUGUGACAUUGCCAUUGAUACUGAUAGGCUAGAGUACAGAUGAGGUCGGCGGAAUGUGUCAAGUAGCGGUGAAAUGCAUAGAUAUGACACAGAACACCAAUUGCGAAGGCAGCUGACUAAAGUGUAACUGACGCUGAGGCACGAAAGCGUGGGGAUCGAACAGGAUUAGAUACCCUGGUAGUCCACGCCCUAAACGAUGAUAACUCGAUGUUAGCGAUAUACUGUUAGCGUCA